GACGAACGCUGGCGGCGUGCUUAACACAUGCAAGUCGAACGUGAUUUUUGUGGAAAUUCUUUCGGGAAUGGAAAUGAAAUGAAAGUGGCGAACGGGUGAGUAACACGUGAGCAACCUACCUUACACAGGGGGAUAGCCGUUGGAAACGACGAUUAAUACCGCAUGAGACCACAGAAUCGCAUGAUAUAGGGGUCAAAGAUUUAUCGGUGUAAGAAGGGCUCGCGUCUGAUUAGCUAGUUGGAAGGGUAAAGGCCUACCAAGGCGACGAUCAGUAGCCGGUCUGAGAGGAUGAACGGCCACAUUGGAACUGAGACACGGUCCAAACUCCUACGGGAGGCAGCAGUGGGGAAUAUUGCACAAUGGGGGGAACCCUGAUGCAGCGACGCCGCGUGAGCGAAGAAGGUUUUCGAAUCGUAAAGCUCUGUCCUAUGAGAAG
rnacentral:rRNA from 1 species